GUGUUCCCCCAUUCAGCAGCAUACACACUAAAAUUGGAACAAUACAGAAAAGAUUAGUUUUGGCAAUGAUGACAUGCAAAUUCAAUUCAUAAAAUAUUU
rnacentral:snRNA from 1 species